UGGCUCAGAUUGAACGCUGGCGGCAGGCCUAACACAUGCAAGUCGAGCGGUAACCUUUCUAGCUUGCUAGAAGAUGACGAGCGGCGGACGGGUGAGUAAUGCUUGGGAACAUGCCUUUAGGUGGGGGACAACAGUUGGAAACGACUGCUAAUACCGCAUAAUGUCUACGGACCAAAGUGGGGGACCUUCGGGCCUCACGCCUAAAGAUUGGCCCAAGUGGGAUUAGCUAGUUGGUGAGGUAAUGGCUCACCAAGGCGACGAUCCCUAGCUGGUCUGAGAGGAUGAUCAGCCACACUGGGACUGAGACACGGCCCAGACUCCUACGGGAGGCAGCAGUGGGGAAUAUUGCACAAUGGGCGCAAGCCUGAUGCAGCCAUGCCGCGUGUGUGAAGAAGGCCUUCGGGUUGUAAAGCACUUUCCAGUAAGGAGGAAAGGUUGGAUGUUAAUAGCA
rnacentral:rRNA from 1 species